CCGCUGUAGCCCGCAGUGUGGAUCACCAUGGCGAUGACGGCACAACCCAUCGCCAGCUGGCAAAGGCGGGUAGCGCCGAGAGGUGAGAGGAGCGCCCUCGUGUUCAGAAAAAAAUUCAAACUAACUGAAGUGGCAUACCUGUGAACAUUGUCGUUCAUCCAGGUCAAUUCACUCCCAUUGCAAGUGAGUUUGGUGCAGUCCUAACCAAGCCUUGUUGAUGAAGCUUGCUCAGAUGAGAAGCAAAACAUCUCAACUAAGACAACCAGAAGUACAGUUGCAAUUGAUUCAAUGCCCCGAGAAUAGUUUCAUACUUAAAUAUUUCCUUGCCUGCAUUUUCAGUGACUUCUGACUUGAAAUGCAAUUUACACUCAAAUAUGUAGGGCAAUUGUGAAUAUGUCAUCAUAAUGUCAUUUCACAGUCCAAUGGCCAUCUGGGAGAAAGCAUAACAAUGCGAUCCGUGAUGAAAAUGAGUUUGACAUCCCUGCACUAAGAAGUACAGACCUCAUUAAUUCUUCAAGAAUUUCUGCACAAUUCAGGUCUUUCUGGCAUGGAAAUUCAAAAGCUAGGACUCUGAAGUCAUUAGUUUUCUUUUCCCUUACAUACAUACAUCAUAUAAAGAACAAGUUUUUGCUUUUACUGCUGUCAAAUAAUCUCAAGCAAGUAAACUGAAUUUGUUUUGGACAUAAUCAUGUUAUGUGGUGGUAAACCAGGCUAAAUUGGUACACUCAUAUCAUGUGCACAAUCAGAACUCAAAACAAAUGUCAUUUUGUCAGAAGAUGGAAAGUUUCUGAAGGAGUGUUGUCUCCUCAAGCGAUCAAAGAGGACUCUGGUCUGAUUGUUCUCAGCUCUCUGUCUCCACCUGGAGGUGUUUUACAGAUUUGUGAAGCUCAACGUCCAGUAAUCACUGCAUAAUUUUAAAAGCAAGAAAUAUGUAAAAGGCAAUGGUAACACCAUAAGUUAUUUGUGCAAAUUCAACUGCCUCCCUAGAAAGCCUUCUGAUCACCAGGGGUAACAAAGUUUGCAGUGUCGUGCUGCAGUUGUCUGCAUUCUUCAUUUCCUCAGGAAGAUUGAUGUUGCACUUCCAUAAAAAAAGAACUUUAAGAUGUUUCUUGUUAGUCAUUCAAGCUAAAGAUUAUCCACUUAUGCGGGUUCUAUAACGAAGACAUGGCCUUACAUCCCAACAGAAACAAUUGUCUUGUCAGUAAAUUAAAAAUGUAUGCCUAUACUGAUUAACAAUUUGUGAUAGAACACAACAAUGAUGAGCAUGCAAAGCAAAGUCAAUAAAAUGUAGUAGUUUAAAAAAAUUAACACAUAUUGCACUGUUCAAACAGCAUAUUUAAUUCUUAAACUGUGUGGAAUAAAACACAUCCAGCAGUCUUUCUUCACACAUCAACCAGAAUGAAAUCACAUCAGUCUUCUUAACA